rnacentral:rRNA from 1 species
AGGGUUUGAUCAUGGCUCAGAACGUACGCUGGCGGCACGCCUAACACAUGCAAGUCGAACGAAGUAGCAAUACUUAGUGGCAGACGGGUGAGUAACAUGUAGGUAUCUACCCUUUGGCCUGGAAUAACACGAGGAAACUUGUGCUAAUACCGGAUAAGUCUUUACGGAGAAAGCUUUAUGCACCAUUGGAUGAGCCUGCACUUGAUUAGUUUGUUGGUAGGGUAAUGGCCUACCAAGACUUUGAUCAAUAGCUGAUUUGAGAGGAUGAUCAGCCACAUUGGGACUGAGACACGGCCCAAACUCCUACGGGAGGCAGCAGUGGGGAAUCUUGCACAAUGGAGGAAACUCUGAUGCAGCGAUGCCGCGUGAGUGAAGAAGGCCUUUGGGUUGUAAAGCUCUUUCGUCGGGGAAGAAAAUGACUGUACCCGAAUAAGAAGGUCCGGCUAACUUCGUGCCAGCAGCCGCGGUAAUACGAAGGGACCUAGCGUAGUUCGGAAUUACUGGGCUUAAAGAGUUCGUAGGUGGUUGAAAAAGUUGGUGGUGAAAUCCCAGAGCUUAACUCUGGAACUGCCAUCAAAACUUUUCAGCUAGAGUUUGAUAGAGGAAAGCAGAAUUUCUAGUGUAGAGGUGAAAUUCGUAGAUAUUAGAAAGAAUACCAAUUGCGAAGGCAGCUUUCUGGAUCAUUACUGACACUGAGGAACGAAAGCAUGGGUAGCGAAGAGGAUUAGAUACCCUCGUAGUCCAUGCCGUAAACGAUGUGUGUUAGACGUUGGAAAUUUAUUUUUCAGUGUCGCAGCGAAAGCGAUAAACACACCGCCUGGGGAGUACGACCGCAAGGUUAAAACUCAAAUGAAUUGACGGGGACCCGCACAAGUAGUGGAGCAUGUGGUUUAAUUCGAAGAUACGCGCAGAACCUUACCAACACUUGACAUGUUCGUCGCGACUUUAAGAGAUUAAAGUUUUCGGUUCGGCCGGACGAAACACAGGUGCUGCAUGGCUGUCGUCAGCUCGUGUCGUGAGAUGUUGGGUUAAGUCCCGCAACGAGCGCAACCCUCACUUUUAGUUGCCAUCAUUAAGUUGGGCACUCUGAAAGAACUGCCAGUGAUAAGCUGGAGGAAGGUGGGGAUGACGUCAAGUCCUCAUGGCCCUUACGUGUUGGGCUACACACGUGCUACAAUGGUAUUUACAAAAGGAAGCAAAACGGCGACGUUUAGCAAAUCCUAAAAAAAUACCUCAGUUCGGAUUGCACUCUGCAACUCGAGUGCAUGAAGCUGGAAUUACUAGUAAUCGUGGAUCAGCGUGCCACGGUGAAUGCGUUCCCGGGUCUUGUACACACCGCCCGUCACACCAUGGGAGUUGGUUCUACCUUAAGGCAAGGUUUAAAACCCUUGACCACGGUAUAGUCAGCGACUGGGGUGAAGUCGUAACAAGGUAACCGUA